CCGAAGUCGAACGCUGCAAUAAUAUUUAUUGAUGCUCCUAUCUCUGUGACUGGCAGCCGUUUAAUUAAUUGAAAUCCGCGCAGAAUGCAGCGCAGAAUGCAGCACAGAACGCAGCCAUAACGGGGAUUGGAUUGCAUUUCAUUGAAACCGGAACGCUCUGCUAAAGUGUAUACUCUUCGUCUCCAAUCGCAAGAGUUUAUUGAAAAUUCGAUGCAAGGAAGAACCAUUUCAAUGGAAUUUUAAGAGUGUUGAACUAGCCACAUAGAGCUAGAGCCUGUGCAACCCAUUCGCUGCUCGCCUCCGAGGCCUUCUCCCAAUCCCUGUCUGUGGGUGGUCCUGUGCUGGUGCCGCAUGCCUGGCACUUCCCUUAUCUCGGCGACACUGGCGCGUUUCGGUUGCGUUGUGUCAGUAAAAAAAAUAAUGUAUAAAUAAAACUAAAAUAAAAAUUGAAAGCCAAACAACGGGGCGACAUGCAAUAAACUGGCUACUCGCGGCUCCUCCCAGAUGUGCUCCCGAAAAUGCCG
rnacentral:lncRNA from 1 species